rnacentral:rRNA from 1 species
AACGGGUGAGUAACGCGUAGGAAUCUACCCGGCAGUGGGGGACAACUCGGGGAAACUCGAGCUAAUACCGCAUGUGAUCGCCGGCAUUCGUGCCGGGGAUGAAAGCGGGGGAUCUCGCCGUCGCGACUUCGGUCGUGGCGGAAGGACCUCGCGCUGUCGGAGGAGCCUGCGUUGGAUUAGCUUGUUGGUGGGGUAAUGGCCUACCAAGGCGACGAUCCAUAGCUGGUCUGAGAGGACGAUCAGCCACACUGGGACUGAGACACGGCCCAGACGGCUACGGUCGGCAGCAGUAGGGAAUAUUGCACAAUGGGCGAAAGCCUGAUGCAGCCAUGCCGCGUGUGUGAAGAAGGCCUUAGGGUUGUAAAGCACUUUCAGUGGCGAAGAAAAAGUCGGCGUUAAUACCGCUGGCCAUUGACGUUAACCACAGAAGAAGCACCGGCCAACUCCGUGCCAGCAGCCGCGGUAAUACGGAGGGUGCGAACGUUAAUCGGAAUUACUGGGCGUAAAGCGCGCGUAGGCGGUUUGUUAAGUGAGAUGUGAAAUCCCCGGGCUCAACCUGGGAACUGCG